UACAAAGUUAAAUAAGCUUGAGACACUUAUUUUAAAAUGGGGGAGUACUUUCAGCAAGUUAAGUCAAUGGAGAAUACUCUAUAAAAGGUACUUCAAAGUGACCUCACAUUCUAUUUUAUGAGAUGCAAUCAAAUUUUGCAUGAGAACUUUUCGAACCGAAGAGGCCGUUCUCCAGGUCUAUUUUGAGUUCUCUACUCCUUUCUCUGCAGCAAAAAAGGUGCGAAUUGGAGUAUUCCGAUUCCGAUUUCCAUGAGAAACUGAUGUUUUUUUUAAACUGGAGGUAGUACGAUUUCUGCCCCGCGACAGCUCCCAGUUCUCUUAGACCUAGCGACGAUCUGGCCGCCCGCUUCUCCCGGCUCCGUCCCCCCGGCUUCCCCAAGGAAAGGAAAGAGGGCAGAGCCAUGGCCAUGGCGGCGCUGCGUGAGGCCUCCCGCCGCCUGGCCUCCACCUCCACGAGGAGCCCUGCCGGCGCCACCACGCGCCCGCUGCUCCUCACGCACUCUCGCGGUAUCACACACAAGCUCUUCAUCGGAGGCUUGUCACAAUUUGCAACGGAAGACAGCCUAGCAGAAGCUUUCACGCGUUAUGGCCAAGUAUUAGAAGCAACCAUUGUCACGGAUAAGAUGACCAGCCGAUCAAAAGGAUUCGGCUUUGUGAAAUUUGCCUCCGAGGAAGAGGCCAAUAAAGCACGGGAAGAGAUGAACAGCAAGGUACUUAAUGGGCGAGUUAUAUAUGUCGACAUUGCAAAGGCUAAACAGGGCCGUGCCGCAGACGUAGUUCCAAUAGCAAGAGGCCCUCCUAAGCCAGUCGGCAACACCUGAAAAAAUGCGUGUUGUGCUGAUGCUUGUUGCUUAAAAAAUAAUGUAAAUAAAGUAGAUUGCGAUGCUCUUAGAGAAAAGCCGAUGUGUAAUUAUGCUGAAUUUUAUGUUUUGCAAGAAUAUAAUUUUUUAAUGUAAUCGACGCGUAAUAUUGUGUUGAAUUUUAUGUUCUGCAAGAACAACAGAUCCAAGAGCAUAUCAGAUAAUGUUCCUGCUCUUUAACCUCGUCGACAUCGACAGGUGUCUGAUACAAUCCUGUGCUAGAACAAUGUUUUCCCCAUGGCUGUCCUGGAGCCAGUGCUUUGCUGUUCCUACUUAGCAGGAGUACUUCAAAGAAACUUCAUUAAUUGCUGUAGGUGGGGGAACAGUAGAUUUUGAUCGUACUUGCGUACUGUGGCUGCCAAUGCACUCAAUGGUAGAUACUUUUCCCCCCAUACCUAAGGACGGAGAACUGUGUCGUUUGAAUGUCACACAUUGCAUGGCAGAUUUUUCUGUCUCUCCACUUCUCUGUCAUUUUCACCUAAAUUUAUUAGGAGGAAAACUUUGUCACUAGAAUGGAUGUACACACUCUAGCUGCCAGGGAGAAGAUGUAAAUACACGUUAGUUCUUGCUUUUUUUUUUUGCGGGAUACGUUAGUUCUUGCUUGAUGCCGUCUUAUUUGGAGCGCAGAAAUACCAUAUAGGAAUCUUACACAAAGCAAUUCAUUUCCCGCAUGAUGCCUACUGUGCACCUACAUCAUGCAUGAAUAAACUCAUUGCUGGAUCCGUCCGUCGGUGGCAAAAAGAACUUGUCACCGGAGCACGACGGUGGCGAAGAAGGCCAGCACGGCGACGGCGCUGGCGGCGGAGCAGCACAGGUCUAUGAGCACCUCUCUUCGCGCCUUGCUCUCCUUCCUCCCCUUCUUGCUCCUGACGAACACCUCGUACCUCGCCUUGGCCUCCUCCCGCUCUCUCUCGCCUCCCCUCCUUCGGCCCUCCAUUGCCGCGGCCAGAAGCCGGAGGGCACCCUCGCCGCUCACCGCCGCGCCUUCGGCGUUCUCCGCGGCGAGGCUGACCUCGCUGACGUGUCCAACCUCCUCGGAGCAGGCCACGGUGGUCUUGAAGUUGCACCCGCCCAGCACCAUCGCGAACUGCACCGGCGUCUCGCCGAUGUACCAGUGCCGGCCCAAGGCCACCGCCCCCCGGCUCGACACGUUCACCGCCCAGCCACGGGCGGGGUCGAUGACCACCCAGCUCAGCUCGAGCUCCGCCAGAGAGAACGCCGCUGCCACUGGAGCCGACUACUUGCAGUCCACGACCUCGACGCGGAACGGCGAGCUGAGGAACCACGACGACGACGCGGGCGUGUCCACCACGCGGGACAGCACGGGCGCGCCCCUGUAG
rnacentral:rRNA from 1 species